rnacentral:lncRNA from 1 species
UCUGAUCUUUGACAAACCUGACAAAAACAAGAAAUGGGGAAAGGAUUCCCUAUUUAAUACAUGGUGCUGGGAAAACUGGCUAGCCAUAUGUAGAAAGCUAAAACUGAAUCCCUUACUUACACCUUAUACAAAAAUUAAUUCAAGAUGGAUUAAAGACUUAAAUGUUAGACCUAAAACCAUAAAAACCCUAGAAGAAAACCUAGGCAAUACCAUUCAUCAUCACUGGCCAUCAGAGAAAUACAAAUCAAAACCACAAUGAGAUACCAUCUCACACCAGUUAGAAUGGUGAUCAUUAAAAAGUCAGGAAACAACAGGUGCUGGAGAGGAGGUGGAGAAAUAGGAGCACUUUUACAUUGUUGGUGGGACUGUAAACUAGUUCAACCAUUGUGGAAGACAGUGUGGUGAUUCCUCAAGGAUCUAGAACUAGAAAUACCAUUUGA